CGCCUCUUGACUAACUAUAAGAGACCCAGCCUGCCCACUGAUAUAUUUAACGGCCGCGGUACCCUGACCGUGCAAAGGUAGCACAAUCACAUGUUCUCUAAAUAGGGACUAGUAUGAAUGGCACCACGAAGAUUAUACUGUCUCCUUUCUACAAUCAGUGAAACUGAUCCCCCCGUGAAAAAGCGGGGAUUAUACUAUAAGACGAGAAGACCCCAUGAAGCUUCAAGCUAAAUAUCAACUACCACCGCUAAACCACCGGAAGUCCUGGCAGACCUGACUAUCAAAUUUUGGUUGGGGCAACCGCGGAGCAAAAUAAAACCUCCGCAUAUUCAUGACAUAGUGGACAACCACUUAACUUAAGAACAACACUUCUAAAAAACCAACACAUUGACCCCCCCUCUGAUCCAAAUCUUUGAUCUAAGAACCAAGUUACUCUGGGGAUAACAGCGCAAUCUAUUUCAAGAGUACAUAUUGACGAAUAGGUUUACGACCUCGAUGUUGGAUCAGGGUGUCCCAGUGGUGCAGAUGCCACUAGUGGUUCGUUUGUUCAACGAUUUAAACCCU
rnacentral:rRNA from 1 species